AUUGAACGCUGGCGGCAUGCUUUACACAUGCAAGUCGGACGAGUGGCGAACGGGUGAGUAAUAUAUCGGAACGCACCGAGUAAUGGGGGAUAACUACUCGAAAGAUUAGCUAAUACCGCAUAUUAUUCGAGCGGCCGAUAUCUGAUUAGCUAGUUGGUGGGGUAAAGGCCUACCAAGGCGACGAUCAGGAGCGGGUCUGAGAGGAUGAUCGUCCGCACUGGGACGGAUACACGGCCCAGACUCCUCCGGGAGGCAGCAGUGGGGAAUUUUGGACAAUGGGCGCAAACCUGAUCCAGCCAUGCCGCGUGUCUGGAGAAGGCCUUCGGGUUGUAAAGAACUUUUGUCAGGGAAGCGGUACCUGAAGAAUAAGCACCGGCUAACUACGUGCCAGCAGCCGCGGUAAUUC
rnacentral:rRNA from 1 species